CCUACGGGAGGCUGCAGUGAGGAAUAUUGGUCAAUGGGCGCGAGCCUGACCCAGCCACGUCGCGUGAAGGAUGACUGCCCUCCGGGUUGUAAACUUCUUUUAUAAAGGAAUAAAGUGAGGCACGUGUGCCUUUUUGUAUGUACUUUAUGAAUAAGGAUCGGCUAACUCCGUGCCAGCAGCCGCGGUAAUACGGAGGAUCCGAGCGUUAUCCGGGUUUAUUGGGUUUAAGGGGAGCGUAGAUGGGUUGUUAAGUCAGUUGUGAAAGUGUGCGGCUCAACCGUAAAAUUGCAAUUGAUACUGGCAGUCUUGAGUACAGUUGAGGCAGGCGGAAUUCGUGGUGUAGCGGUGAAAUGCUUAGAUAUCACGAAGAACUCCGAUUGCGAAGGCAGCUUACUAAGCUGCCACUGACAUUGAUGCUCGAAAGUGUGGGUAUCAAACAGGAUUAGAUACCCUGGUAGUC
rnacentral:rRNA from 1 species